AAAGAGUAAGAACUGAGAGACUGAGCCUCAGUGAGCUGCAACCCCAGGAGGUUUUUGUUCAGCCCUGGAGCACUGUGGGAGGAUCCUCCCUAUCUUGCUGACAGUAAUAGGUUGCAGCAUCAUCAGCCUCCACAAGGCUGAUGGUGAGGGUGAAGUCUGUCCCAGACCCACUGCCACUGAACCUGGCAGGGACCCCAGAUGCUAGGUUGGAUGCACCAUAGAUGAGGAGUUUGGGUGGCUGUCCUGGUUUCUGUUGGUACCAGUGCAUAAAACUUAUGCCAUAACUAUCUACACUCUGGCUGGC